AACAUUUUUAAAAAAAUGAUCCCGACCAAAUCAAUCAAUGCCUUGAUCAUUGUAAUUUGCAACGAUUGACUGAACAUGAAAUGAAAUUCAUAGAAGAAUAUUGUCAGGUAAUGAAACCUUUAGCACAAUCUUUAGAUAUAUUGCAAAGCGAGAAAGGGAUGUAUAUGGGAUACUUAUUACCGAUCUUAAAAACAUUAAAAGAAAAAUUAGAGAAACUUAAUAAAAAUGAAAUUACGCAUUGCCAAUCAUUAAUCGCAGCUCUUCAACAAGGUUUAAAUAAAAGAUUUUCCUCAUUGUUU